CUCAACUGGUAAAGACCUCUAAG
rnacentral:siRNA from 1 species